GAUGAAGAACGUAGCGAAAUGCGAUAAGUAGUGUGAAUUGCAGAAUUCAGUGAAUCAUCGAAUCUUUGAACGCACAUUGCGCCCCUUGGUAUUCCAUGGGGCAUGCCUGUUCGAGCGUCAUUUGUACCUUCAAGCCUUGCUUGGUGUUGGGUGUUUGUCUCGCCUCUGCGCGCAGACUCGCCUCAAAACAAUUGGCAGCCGGCGUAUUGAUUUCGGAGCGCAGUACAUCUCGCGCUUUGCACUCAGAACGACGACGUCCAAAAGUACAUUUUACACUCUUGACCUCGGAUCAGGUAGGGAUACCCGCUGAACUUAAGCAUAUCAAUAAGCGGAGGA
rnacentral:misc_RNA from 1 species